rnacentral:tRNA from 1 species
GGGGAUUUAGCUCAGUAGUUCUAGUGCUUGCCUCACAAGCAAAAGGGCCUGAGUUCGAUCCUCAGUACCUA